AUUGAACGCUGGCGGCAUGCCUUACACAUGCAAGUCGAACGGCAGCACGGGUGCUUGCGCCUGGUGGCGAGUGGCGAACGGGUGAGUAAUAUAUCGGAACGUACCUUAUUGUGGGGGAUAACGCAGCGAAAGCUGUGCUAAUACCGCAUAAUCCCUAAGGGGGAAAGCGGGGGACCGUAAGGCCUCGCGCAAUUAGAGCGGCCGAUACCUGAUUAGCUAGUUGGUGAGGUAAGGGCUCACCAAGGCAACGAUCAGUAGCUGAUCUGAGAGGACGAUCAGCCACACUGGGACUGAGACACGGCCCAGACUCCUACGGGAGGCAGCAGUGGGGAAUUUUGGACAAUGGGGGCAACCCUGAUCCAGCAAUGCCGCGUGAGUGAAGAAGGCCUUCGGGUUGUAAAGCUCUUUUGUCAGGGAAGAAACAGCAGCUCUAACACAGUUUGCGAAUGACGGUACCUGAAGAAUAAGCACCGGCUAACUACGUGCCAGCAGCCGCCGUAA
rnacentral:rRNA from 1 species